UCGGCCUCCAGCGUGGCGACGGCGCGGGUAUGCCCAUCCAGGGCCACGAACUCGACUUCAUAGGCCUCGCCAUCUCGGUAAAGAUGGACGACCGUACCCACGUCGCCGGCUUCCAGGCCCUCGCUGGGGAUCGGCGUCAACAGGACGACUCUUUCCAGUUCUUUCAUCGCGUUCACCCCUCCUACUUCCGUGUCUUACCCCGAAGGGGGAAUGGCAACUAACUUAAGGACUUCGGAAAUACAAAUGGGGUCAACCGGACUUCCAGCGACCCCAUUGGCCGAUACCGUGCCAUGUCGUUCCAUUCCCACGCCACUCCGCAGUUAGCGGAUGACGGCGCAUUACGCCCGAAGAGCUAUGGGAACCUCUGGAAUGAACCAGAACGGUUCGCGCCUGCGGGUUGCCAGGGCAGAGGAUAAGCCUCUCGUCUUGCGCUGGUGCUGUCGUAAUGAGAGCAUCGGACCUCAUCGGCACGGCCCUGAUGCUGAGCCGAUUAUACUCUCGGCCACAAAGCCUCUACAAUGAAAAAAGCAUGGGCGGGAAGAGCCCCCCUAGACGGCCAAUCCAGGUUGAGUCCCGCGCGGACACGACUCAGGGCUCUCCCGCCAUUGCUCAUGCCUAUCCUUCUGCGAUGACCUCCAAUUCCUUUUUGUCUUCUCCGACGCGA
rnacentral:misc_RNA from 1 species